rnacentral:rRNA from 1 species
AGCGAACGCUGGCGGCAGGCCUAAUACAUGCAAGUCGAACGAAGCCUUCGGGCUUAGUGGCGGACGGGUGAGUAACACGUGGGAACGUACCCUUUGGUUCGGAACAACUCAGGGAAACUUGAGCUAAUACCGAAUGUGCCCCCAUCCUUAACAAGAUGGGUGGGAAAGAUUAUCGCCAUUGGAGCGGCCCGCGUCUGAUUAGCUAGUUGGUGAGGUAAAGGCCCACCAAGGCUACGAUCAGUAGCUGGUCUGAGAGGAUGAUCACG